AACUCUGAACAGAAAUUCUGUUAAACUUCUUUAAAUUAAUCAUUUAAGUCUGUAAAAUGUGAAUAUGUUUUGUUCUGGAAUCAAAACUGACAUUGUUAAAUGUUUUAUCCAAAACCCAAAGACAUUCCCACAAAAGUUAAAAUUGAGUAGUUUAAAUAUUUUCUCAUUUCCAAAGAGUAAGUUGAUUAAAGAAAACAUUUUCUGAUGAUGAACUGAGUCGGGUCACGUGCUGUUUGAGGUCACGCCUCUUUACCUUUGACCUUUACUUGCCUGGAUCCAUCCCGCUGAGGAUUCGAAGGGCCGUUACACCAACACUGGAGUUACUAUGGCCAUCGUUUUCACUGUGAUCUGAAGGGGGCGCCGUUUCCACCGUGGCGUCAGGGGGAUUAUCACCUGAAUGACCGACAGGGGGCGUAAACGGAGGGUGAGGACGGCGACGGCUUUCCAAACUCAAAGAGGACGUGUGCUGAUGGACGGAUCCGUGCCACAUGCUGCCAGCUGGUGAAACUGCACUCGGACUGUGAAUCUUGAAUCUAUGAAUAUUUUAAAUGUCUGAAGGUUGUUCACAUGUUCACGAGGAUAUAAGAAGAGUUUGUUCAUCACAUAUCAUCGUCAAAACAAAAGUUCUCACGCUUGGACUCUCCAGCAUGUUUGGCUUUUGUUUUGACGGCUCCAAUCAGAAGCAGGAAUAAUAACUAAUCAAUAAUCUGUUCUGUUUGGCCACUGAAGUUCUAUUUUUUAACAUAUCACACUCUAUGUUUUGUAAGAACAAUAAUGACUUCAUUAUUUUGUAGACUUCAACAUUUUUGCUAAUGUUUCCAUUUUACUUUUCAACUUUGCCUUGAUACGAGUGGAGCGACUCCAGAAAAAAGAAAGAAAAGAAAAGAA